rnacentral:rRNA from 1 species
UACGUAGGGGGCAAGCGUUGUCCGGAUUUAUUGGGCGUAAAGAGCGUGUAGGCGGUUUGGUAGGUCCGUUGUGAAAACUCGAGGCUCAACCUCGAGACGCCGAUGGAAACCAUCAGACUAGAGUCCGGAAGAGGAGAGUGGAAUUCCCGGUGUAGCGGUGAAAUGCGCAGAUAUCAGGAAGAACACCCGUGGCUAAGGCGGCUCUCUAGUACGGUACUGACGCUGAGACGCGAAAGCGUGGGGAGCGAACAGG